UACGUAGGGGGCAAGCGUUGUCCGGAUUUACUGGGUGUAAAGGGCGCGCAGGCGGGUUGACAAGUCAGAGGUGAAAUCCUACAGCUUAACUGUAGAACUGCCUUUGAGACUGUCAAUCUUGAGUACGGAAGAGAGAGAUGGAAUUCCAGGUGUAGUGGUGAAAUACGUAGAUAUCUGGAAGAACACCAGUGGCGAAGGCGGUCUCUUGGUCCAUUACUGACGCUAAGGCGCGAAAGCGUGGGGAGCAAACAGG
rnacentral:rRNA from 2 species